AGGCGCUGCAAGACCAAAUUCGGACACUGGACAAUGGGAGCCAAGGAAUCAACAACAUAUUGAAAUCCAUUGAAAUACGCCAUCUGGCUGGAAUUGGAGAUCUUCGAGGAAGAGUGGCAAGAUUUCACAACUUUUAAAGAGAAUUGAGGAGUUGAUAACGGAGCAAGAAAGGAAGAUCAAUCUUACUAGGCGACAGAGCAGUGAGCAGCGCCAUCUGCUGGAUAUUAUGAUUUUACCAAUUCUCCAUCUCCUUGGUCUUGCUGACGUUGAGUGAGAGGUGGUUGUUGUGGCACCACUCAGGAUUAUCAACUGGGAGAGAUUUCACAGAAGGAGAGGACAUCCAGUGUUUAGAACAAAAUGAACACAGUUUAUCAUUGAAUCAUGCAUUAUUAGAGGAAGCCAUGCCUGAGCCAGCAUCAAUAAAGUCAAUGAU